AUUGAACGCUGGCGGCAGACCUAACACAUGCAAGUCGAGCGGAUGAAGGGAGCUUGCUCCUGGAAUCAGCGGCGGACGGGUGAGUAAUGCCUAGGAAUCUGCCUGGUAGUGGGGGAUAACGUCCGGAAACGGGCGCUAAUACCGCAUACGUCCGGAGGGAGAAAGUGGGGGAUCUUCGGACCUCACGCUAUCAGAUGAGCCUAGGUCGGAUUUGCUAGUUGGUGGGGUAAAGGCCUACCAAGGCGACGAUCCGUAACUGGUCUGAGAGGAUGAUCAGUCACACUGGACCUGAGACACGCUCCAGACUCCUCCGGGAGGCAGCAGUGGGGAAUAUUGGACAAUGGGCGAAAGCCUGAUCCAGCCCUGCCGCGUGUGUGAAGAAGGUCUUCUGAUUGUAAAGCACUUUAAGUUGUGAGGAAGGGCAGUAAGUUAAUACCUUGCUGUUUUGACGUUACCAACAGAAUAAGCACCGGCUAACUUCGUG
rnacentral:rRNA from 1 species